CGUCUUCCCCUCCCCUUCCUCCUCGGCGCCGCCCCCUCCUCCUCGCCGUCCGCGGAGCCCAAAUACGCGACACCUGGAGCAAUAGCAGCCGCCCGCGGCCUGGGCCUCAUUACGGCCGGCCCUUAUCGCGGCGUGCAUCACAUUAUUUCAUUUCAAAGAAUCCGCAGAGAAACCCGUCCCCGGCCGACAACAGAAAGUAAAAACACAGCUGACUCCCAUUAGGGCCCUCUCACGGGCUCCGCGUGAGGCGAUUCCCAGGUACCCACCUGGUGCCAAGGGGCGUACGUGCUAAGGUCCCUGCGCAGAAAAGGCCGGCAAGCAGCAAAUUCCUUGUGAAUCCAGCAGGCAGAGAUUCCCAAGAUCUGAGGAGAGCAUGCCCUCAGGGCCCCCCACCUCCCACUGGGCCUCCCCUUCUGUCAGGCCCCCUCUCCUGAUCUUCUCAGAUGCCUGCUGCCCUCCUGCUACCUACCUCUCUCUACCAGGAGAGAGGUCAGACACUGACGAAUACUGAUGCAGCACUUACCUCAUGCCAGUCUUGACAAGAACCCCUUAAGGUCAGCGCUCACCAUUUUGCAGAUGAGGAAGCUGGACCACAGAGAAGUGAGCUGACUUGUCCAAGGUCAACAGCUAGUGAGUGGCAGUAACCCAGAAGGUUCGAUGCCUAACUCCACACCGUUGAUCACUGUACAAUCUGAACCUCACAGGGAGGAAGCAGGAACAGGGGGCAGCUAACAGCUAACGGGACACAACUGAGAGCACUCAGAUUUCUGCAGAAGCCUACGGAGCUGCUCUUUACACAUGGAUUUGAUCCUCCCAACACUGUUGUGAGGCAGGUUUGGGGGCCUCAUUUUAACAGCCGAGUGAACUGAACCCCAGAGGAGAAAGGCCUCUGCAUUUCAGCAAGUUUCUCCAGCAAGUCCGUACAGAGCUGAGGUUAGAACCGAGGCCUGAGUACCCCAAGCCAGUGGGCUUCCACCUUCCUGACCACCCACCACCGCCAAAGAGCGUUUUCAGAAGGCCGGAAGGACUCACGUGCCUAAAGGACAAAGCUCGGGCACUAACGUAUGAAUGAGAAGCAUGUUCUUUUUUUUUUUUUUUACAUCAGACUAACAUCCCUAAAAUCUCCUCCUGCCCCCACUGAUCCUGUGUCUUUGCCCCAAAAACAUCUUACCCAUUCAGCAAAGUUGAACCGAGCUCCUACUCUGCCCUGUGGGGUCCCGGGGCAACAAAUGUGACCCGCUCCUGCUCCCCAGCCUGGAAGAGCUCGCAACCGGGCAGGGAAAGCGGAUGCUGCACCAGUAAUAGGAGGGAAGGUAAAGCUUGCUGGAGAUGCCUGUUAAUCCAGAGAAUCAGGUCUGCCCAAAGGUCUCCGCGAACGUGAUGUUGGUGCAGAGCCUCGCAGGGCCAGUAUGAGGAUUUAUCUCAGAGGCAGAAGCACCAAGAAACCCACCCAUGGAAUAUAGAACUCCUUCAAGGACCUGCUAAUGCUUCUAGGGCCCACUGAGAAGGAUCCAUGUUAGCUAGAGUGGUCUGGAAAUGAAUCCACAGCAUCUCUGGAGUAUGACCUGUUGCCCAUCCUGGACUCAGAGGGCAGCCCCGGGCAACAAGGAAAAAGCUGCAAGAACAGGAAGGGAAGAGGUGAACUCAUUACCUGGUCGCUGCCCCCAGCGCACCAUCCUCUUACCCUUCUCUGCACCCCUGUCGCCCUCUCCCCACCCCCACCCAAGGGCUAGACCUCACUGAGGUGCCCGGGCCAGCCACACUUCCCAAGAGGCUCAUGCCAAUUAGAAAAUAUCCAAAUCAGGGAUGCCUGGGUGGCUCAGCGGUUGGGCAUCUGCCUUCCACUCAGGGCCUGAUCCUGGAGACCCGGGAUAGAGUCCCAUGUCGGGCUCCCUGCAUGGAGCCUGCUUCUCCCUCUGCCUGU